rnacentral:rRNA from 1 species
AUACGGAGGAUGCGAGCGUUAUCCGGAUUUAUUGGGUUUAAAGGGAGCGUAGGUGGGAUAUUAAGUCAGCUGUGAAAGUUUGGGGCUCAACCUUAAAAUUGCAGUUGAUACUGGUUUCCUUGAGUACGGUACAGGUGGGCGGAAUUCGUGGUGUAGCGGUGAAAUGCUUAGAUAUCACGAAGAACUCCGAUCGCGAAGGCAGCUCACCGGGCCGGAACUGACACUGAUGCUCGAAAGUGCGGGUAUCAAACAGGAUUAGAUACCCUGGUAGUCCGCACAGUAAACGAUGAAUACUCGCUGUUUGCGAUACACGGUAAGCGGCCAAGCGAAAGCGUUAAGUAUUCCCCCUGGGGAGUACGCCGGCAACGGUGAAACUCAAAUGAAUUGACGGGG